UACGUAGGGUGCAAGCGUUGUCCGGAAUUAUUGGGCGUAAAGAGCUCGUAGGCGGUCUGUCGCGUCUGCUGUGAAAACCUAGGGCUUAACUCUGGGCGUGCAGUGGGUACGGGCAGGCUAGAGUGCGGUAGGGGAGACUGGAAUUCCUGGUGUAGCGGUGAAAUGCGCAGAUAUCAGGAGGAACACCGGUGGCGAAGGCGGGUCUCUGGGCCGUAACUGGACGCUGAGGAGCGAAAGCAUGGGGAGCGAACAGG
rnacentral:rRNA from 1 species